rnacentral:rRNA from 1 species
UCCGGAGGGUGCAAUCGUUAUCCGGAAUCACUGGGUUUAAAGGGUGCGUAGGCGGCUUGAUAAGUCAGGGGUGAAAGCCCGCAGCUUAACUGCGGAACUGCCUUUGAUACUGUCGAGCUUGAAAGAGGUUGAGGUCAGCGGAACGUGACAUGUAGCGGUGAAAUGCAUAGAUAUGUCACAGAACACCGAUUGCGAAGGCAGCUGGCUGGACCUACUUUGACGCUGAGGCACGAAAGCGUGGGGAGAGAACAGG